rnacentral:misc_RNA from 1 species
AACGCGCAUUGCGCCCCCUGGUAUUCCGGGGGGCAUGCCUGUCCGAGCGUCAUUUCUGCCCUCAAGCACGGCUUGUGUGUUGGGCCCCGUCCCCCGGGAUCGGAGGACGGGCCCGAAAGGCAGCGGGGGCACCGCGUCCGGUCCUCGAGCGUAUGGGGCUUUGUCACCCGCUCUGUAGGCCCGGCCGGCGCUUGCCGAUCAACCCAAAUUUUUAUCCAGGUUGACCUCGGAUCAGGUAGGGAUACCCGCUGAACUUAA